rnacentral:rRNA from 1 species
ACUCAAUAGAUACCCGGGUAGUCCUGGCCCUAAACGAUGUCUACUAGAUCGUGGCGGCACUGACGCCGUCAUGGUCGAAAGCAAAAGCGUUAAGUGGACCGCCUGGGAAGUACGGUCGCAAGGCUAAAACUCAAAGAAAUUGACGGGGGCUCACACAAGCGGUGGAGCAUGUGGUUCAAUUCGAAGCAACGCGAAGAACCUUACCUGGGCUUGACAUGCUAGGAUUAUCUUGAUGAAAGUCGAGUAGGCCCCGCAAGGGGUACAACUAGUACAGGUGCUGCAUGGCUGUCGUCAGCUCGUGUCGUGAGAUGUCGGGUUAAGUCCCUUAACGAGCGAAACCUUUGCCCUUAGUUGCCAUCGGGUUAUGCCGGGCACUCUAAGGGGACUGCCGGUGUCAAACCGGAGGAAGGUGGAGAUGACGUCAAGUCCUCAUGGCCUUUAUGCCCAGGGCUACACACGUGCUACAAUGGCGUCCACAAAGCGAGCCGAGAGCGCAAGCUGGAGGAAAUCGCAGAAAUGACGCCCCAGUUCA